CCUCCUGGUCGAGGACUCUUUCUUCCUCGUGAACUUGUCCCACUUCUUUUUAUCAUGCAUUUGACCCCUUUCCCCAUUAAUCUCUCAACUCUCUGAGGGCAGCGAGCCCCUCUUUCUCAUUUUAGAGGCUGUACAGCGGCUCCACAGCCAGCAGCUCACGCGUUGGGCCCACGACAUGCUCCACGAUUUCAUUCCAUCUUCUUUAAGACACUCUCCAGCAACAGCAGAGAUAUAAUUGAUCCCCCAGAACACACGACGAAGCUUCGAUGCAGAGAGUCCGACGGCUUGUCUGGGGACCUCUAGAUGCGUGGCUCGUGCGGGAGAACAGAAGACCCCGGCGCAAAAUAACAAUGCGGACGGCCAAACUGUUUGCUAACAGGGAGCCAAGGUCGGGAGGCACUGGAGCACUCCAAGAGGGACGGGGUGAAAAAGCGUGAGCACCAGAGGAAAGAACUGGCAACCAGCCUCUGGCAGUCCCAGGAGCCUAGCAGGUCAGCACCAAUCGUGUCUUCCUCCCUCUACCAGAGAUGAUCUCCACACAGCCAGGGGGAAGAGACAAAGACAAAUAAAGGACUUUGGACCUGCUGUUUACUUUCA
rnacentral:lncRNA from 12 species